UGUGUUGUGGCUCAGUUGUAGAGCACUUGCCUAGCACAUGUGAGGUACUGGGUUCAAUCCUCAGCACCACAU
rnacentral:tRNA from 1 species